UCAGACGAUGCGUCAUGCAUAUCAAUAAGCGGAGGAAAAGAAACUAACAAGGAUUCCCCUAGUAACGGCGAGUGAAGCGGGAAGAGCUCAAAUUUGAAAUCUUAAAGGGUUUCCCUUUACGAAUUGUAGUUUAAAGAAGUGUUUUCUGUUGAGGUUUUGGUAAAAGUUCUUUGGAAUAGGACAUCAUAGAGGGUGAGAAUCCUGUAUUUGACCUUUACUUUCAACUUUGUGAUACACUUUCAAAGAGUCGGAUUGUUUGGGAAUGCAGUCCAAAAUGGGUGGUAAAUUUCAUCUAAAGCUAAAUAUUGGCGAGAGACCGAUAGCGAACAAGUACCGUGAGGGAAAGAUGAAAAGAACUUUGAAAAGAGAGUUAAACAGUACGUGAAAUUGUCAAAAGGGAAGCGUUUGACACCAGUGUUGUUUUUCUGAAAAUCAAUUAAAGAACUGUUUAUGCUAAGCUGUUUAGACUUUAUCAGCUAUCUGUUUAGUUUUAGGCUUUUCUUUAAUGCACUUUUCAGUUAAUAAGUCAACAUCAAUUUCUUUUGCUGUAAAAAAGCUUGAGGAAGGUGGCUUGAGAUUCGUCUUAAGUGUUUAUAGCCUCUUGCCUAUGCAGUCGGAGAGAUUGAGGUCUGCAGCGUAGAUCCUUCGGGGCUAAAUGCAUUUGUGCUAAGUUAUAGCAUUUUAUAGACAACUUGUUGACUAUGAUUUGUCUUGUAGCUUACUCGCUUAUGUUAUUUUACCUACGCUUAGGAUGUUGACACACGCGCGUGCUCG
rnacentral:rRNA from 1 species